rnacentral:tRNA from 1 species
AAAAUCCGUCGACUUUUAAAAUCGUGAGGGUUCAAGUCCCUUGGUUCAGUCCCUCUAUCCCCA